CUUCCAAUGGCGCGUGCUACACAUGCAAGUAGAACGCUGAAGAGAGGAGCUUGCUCUUCUUGGAUGAGUUGCGAACGGGUGAGUAACGCGUAGGUAACCUGCCUUGUAGCGGGGGAUAACUAUUGGAAACGAUAGCUAAUACCGCAUAACAAUGGAUGACACAUGUCAUUUAUUUGAAAGGGGCAAUUGCUCCACUACAAGAUGGACCUGCGUUGUAUUAGCUAGUAGGUGAGGUAAUGGCUCACCUAGGCGACGAUACAUAGCCGACCUGAGAGGGUGAUCGGCCACACUGGGACUGAGACACGGCCCAGACUCCUACGGGAGGCAGCAGUAGGGAAUCUUCGGCAAUGGGGGCAACCCUGACCGAGCAACGCCGCGUGAGUGAAGAAGGUUUUCGGAUCGUAAAGCUCUGUUGUAAGUCAAGAACGGGUGUGAGAGUGGAAAGUUCACACUGUGACGGUAGCUUACCAGAAAGGGACGGCUAACUACGUGCCAGCAGCCGCGGUAAUACGUAGGUCCCGAGCGUUGUCCGGAUUUAUUGGGCGUAAAGCGAGCGCAGGCGGUUUGAUAAGUCUGAAGUUAAAGGCUGUGGCUCAACCAUAGUUCACUUUGGAAACUGUCAAACUUGAGUACAGAAGGGGAGAGUGGAAUUCCAUGUGUAGCGGUGAAAUGCGUAGAUAUAUGGAGGAACACCGGUGGCGAAAGCGGCUCUCUGGUCUGUAACUGACGCUGAGGCUCGAAAGCGUGGGGAGCGAACAGGAUUAGAUACCCUGGUAGUCCACGCCGUAAACGAUGAGUGCUAGGUGUUGGAUCCUUUCCGGGAUUCAGUGCCGCAGCUAACGCAUUAAGCACUCCGCCUGGGGAGUACGACCGCAAGGUUGAAAC
rnacentral:rRNA from 1 species